rnacentral:lncRNA from 1 species
CUGAUUUGGGUAAAUUGAGAAAUCUAGGGUUUUGAAUAAAACUCUCUUUCUCUCUGUUUUGGUGCAGAAACUGAUGGGGAUUCAGGCGGCCUCAUCGUAGGGUCUCAGGAGGCAACGAGCAAACCGCUCGCCUCAGCCAUUCACGCGGCUUCAAGGCGGAGAUGAAACAUCAAGCGAGCUGCUUAAACCAACCAGUGCAUCAACCAUCUGAUCCUAACCCUUCCAUGCGACUUCGAUUCGAUUUCGUGAGGCAGCGACCAAAACGCCUGGUCAUCCAAAAUUAGAAUCGCUGCUAUUCUGAUUCUUCGCUGUAUGUUUCAAUCGACUUGAAGUGUCCUCGUGAGGCUAAGAUGAGACUGACUGGUUUUUCAGUUACAAGGUUUACCUAUUUUAACUCACAAUCUGAUCAUUUCCAUGUAUAUUGACGUGUUUGGCUGUAUAUAUAUCUGAUUCUAAAAAGAAUCGAUUUUGAAACCUUAAUUUUCCAAACUUACACUUCUCAUUUUUGGUGAUGAAUCUAAUCAACCGAAUUACUGGUGAGGAUGAUUAAUAUCCAUUUAAUUACCAAACAACAUACUAGAAUGAAGUUUAGAAGUGUUGAUUUGUUUAACAGAUAAAGCAGGCUAUGUGAGUGCUUUGGGUUUGCUCAUGACAAUGCUAUCUUUGAUGUAUGUUGGAUGAAGCUACAGAAAAAUCUAAUCAUUCAAUCACAGUUACAUAUAUUUACUGUCCUUUUUAUUGCUGGAAGGGAAGAGACAUUUGAAUCCAAAGGGAGAAAGAAAGUUGUGUUCCAAAUGGACCAAGUAAUGAGUUGAAGCCUAUACCAUUUGCUGAAAUUGUCACAAAGUUGGGAGGAUUUGAAAACUGAAAAUUUGAGGUUGUGUUGUUAAUUUGUGCAUCUAUGCUAUGACUUCAUCUUUUGAGUUAAACACGACACUACAUGUUGAUUUUGGCUCACAAUUAUGUCAUAUUUGGUAUUUCACUUCAUCUAAUAAUUAGUGUGGUAUUCUGUCACUAAUGAUGCUAAGAUAGUCCUUAGGAACAUUAAACUGAUAGUUUAUGUUUGUCAACAUACUGAAGGAUGAGUAGUUUAGUGAUAGAAAUAGGAGACUAGGAUUUGCAUUUUGCAAUCCAUUAAAUUUGUACUUUUUAGGUGUAGUACAAAUCAGUUGCAAUGAAUGAGAGCCAUCAUGCAAGAAAAUUCCAAUGAUGA